rnacentral:rRNA from 1 species
UACGUAGGGGGCUAGCGUGUCCGGAAUCAUUGGGCGUAAAGAGCGUGUAGGCGGCCCGGUAAGUCCGCUGUGAAAGUCGGGGGCUCAACCCUCGGAUGCCGGUGGAUACUGUCGGGCUCGAGUACGGAAGAGGCGAGUGGAACUCCUAGUGUAGAGGUGAAAUUCGUAGAUAUUAGGAAGAACACCAGUGGCGAAAGGCGGCUCACUGGCCCGGUACUGACGCUGAGGCGCGAAAGCGUGGGGAGCAAACAGG